rnacentral:rRNA from 1 species
AUUGAACGCUGGCGGCAGGCUUAACACAUGCAAGUCGAGCGAGCGGCGGACGGGUGAGUAAUGUCUGGGCAACUGCCUGAUGGAGAGGGAUAGCUACUGGAAACGGUAGCUAAUACCGCAUACCAUCGGAUGUGCCCCUAUGGGAUUAGCUAGUAGGUGGGGUAAUGGCUCACCUAGGCGACGAUCCCUAGCUGGUCUGAGAGGAGGACCAGCCACACUGGAAGUGAGACACGGUCCAGGCUCCUACGGGAGGCAGCAGUGGGGAACAUGGCACAACGGGGGGAAGCCUGAUGCAGCCAUGCAGCGUGUGUGAAGAAGGCCUUCGGGUUGUAAAGCACGUUCAGCGAGGAGGCGUUACUCGCAGAAGAAGCACCGGCUAACUCCGUGCCAGCCGCCGCGGUAAUAC